UGGCCUGUGCACUCUGAUACACAAGCCUGGUCACAUAGUUGUGCUCUGUGGGUUACUCACGUAUACACACGUCAAUAGAUCAUCGGUCGUUCCAUUGAUCGAUAACUGAGGAAAGUUUGUUAAUUAAUAUUCUUAGAAUGGUUGAGUUAAACGAUCCUAAAUCUCACGAAAAAUUUUCAGUUGAUGUAAAACUUCUGCUUGUACCAGGAGUUCUCCUAGUCCUUUUAAUUGUGUUCUUUAUUUACCGGAUUUUAAAGGCAAACCAUGACAGGGAGAAAGCCAAAAAAGAAAAGAGAAAAAUGAAACAAGAAAAGAAGAAACAAUAACAGGAGGCCUUGAUAUUAGGAUAAGAAAUUAUAUCAUUGGUAGAAGCUUUACAAUCAAGACUGGGAUUUUCAUCUGUUGGAUUUGAACAAUGUGCAAACACUAUCUAACAAUUUGCAUUUUGGUGACUUUCAUCUCCAUCUGAAAACUUUGGAUAUAUGUGUGUCAUGUGAUCUCUACAGGCAGUAAGACUUUGAUAACUACUGUAGAGAAAAUAGAUUUCACCUUCAGGAAUGGAAAGGACAUUGAUUUUGACUUAGCUAGAACUUCAAGUAAGCCAAGUUUAUGGUGGGAAGGUUCUACAGUACAAUUAGUUGGCAGAGAACUCAAACAGAAAAAUUUCUGUUGAAAUCUUUGAAUGAUUUAUUUCAGCACAUCACAAAGCAAAAUAUCUCCACUAGCACUCUAAAAGCAUUCACUGUAUCAGUAAAACUCUUAAACCUAACGUCUACAGGUAACAAUCUAACACUUUGCAAAUUAAAAAUGAAAUAUUGACAGUCUUAAAAAGAAAUAAAUAAAUUAUUUGAUUGAA